UACGUAGGUCCCGAGCGUUGUCCGGAUUUAUUGGGCGUAAAGCGAGCGCAGGUGGUUUAUUAAGUCUGGUGUAAAAGGCAGUGGCUCAACCAUUGUAUGCAUUGGAAACUGGUAAACUUGAGUGCAGGAGAGGAGAGUGGAAUUCCAUGUGUAGCGGUGAAAUGCGUAGAUAUAUGGAGGAACACCGGUGGCGAAAGCGGCUCUCUGGCCUGUAACUGACACUGAGGCUCGAAAGCGUGGGGAGCAAACAGG
rnacentral:rRNA from 1 species